AUCCUCGUUAGACAGCUCCCAGAACUGAACCCUAAGCUGGCAGGUAGCCCAGGAGGAAAGGCUUCAAAGCCGAAGACCCUGUUGGAGGAGGGAAGUAGACUGGUGGCGGCUGCCCUGGCCAUCCUUGCUGAGCUUCCUGCAGUGUGCUCUCCUGAAGGUAUGCUGUGCUGUGUGAGCUUCCUGCAGUGUGCACUCCUGAAGGUAUGCUGUGCUGUGUGAGCUUCCUGCAGUGUGCUCUCCUGAAGGUAUGCUGUGCUGUGUGAGCUUCCUGCAGUGUGCUCUCCUGAAGGUAUGCUGUGCUGUGCGUAGGACCUAGAGCCGUGCCUCUCAGUCACUUCCUCGGUUGGGUGACCCCAGCCGUAGAACUGCUUCCUUGCUACUUCAUAACUGACUUGCUACUGCUGUGAAUCAUAAUGUAAAUACCUGAUAUACAGUCCACAGUGGGGCCAUGGCCUCCAGGUUGCCAGCCACUGUCCUAGAAGAAGGGGACUGACCUAGUUGCUAUUCAUUUUCUCAUUUGAGUACUUUUUAUAAUCCUGUAAGAUUAGUCUUGCAGUCUAAUAUAAUUUGUUUCACCAAGAGGUGAAAGUGAAAGCCACAAACAGCAGAUGUGAUGGUGAAUGCGCUUCCUGUGACUGCCUUCUUACUCCAGGUCUAGGCGUGGAGCCCAGGCUUGGAGCAUGCGAGAGUGUGCCCUGACCAUCAAGCUGACAGUAUUUUAAAUCAAGUAGUAGUACUUGUACAUUUUCAGUGUGCAGUAUCUGGUGGACAGUUCUGACUCCAUAUGACAAAUUUGUCAUGAGGAUGCCCUGUCCUGUUUGGGACCAAAUCCAUUCAGUUCUUUCAUCUAGCUCCUAGGGUUCUCUGGGUGCUGCUAACUCCACUGCCUGCCAGAGGCUCCCUGCUGAUCCUGUUGUUUGCAGUGGGCAUACUUUCUGUGAGCAUAAGCCACCUAAUUCUGGGUCAGGUAGGCCCACUCUGCCACCGUGUGUGUGUGUGUGUGUGUGUGUGUGUGUGUGUGUGUGUGUGUGUUGGAGAAGAGUGUUUCGGGAGUCGGUUCUUGCUACUUUGUUUGGCGGCAGCCUCGCUCUUGCUCCUGUCACUGUGGUGCUCCAUGUGGGUCUCUGAUCUGCAAGCUUCCAGGUGACUCGCCUCCCAUCUUGCCAUAGGGAUGCUAGGAUCACAGGUGUUCACCACUGUGUCCAGCUUCUCCAGCAAACAGUGCACUGAUCUAGCUUUUUAAUGUUUUCUUCCUUCAAAGUUAACUCUGGUCUCACCUUAUCAGAAAAUGUUUCCCUGGAGACCUUCUCAUAAUGAGUUUUGUUUGUUCUUGUAUAAACACUAUUUCUUAUGAAGAUCUAUAGCUUUCUCCAUCAUGUAACUAUAUUAUAUGUAACUAUUACAUAUAAAAGAUAAAUAUGUGUGUAGGUGUGUUUUAUUUCUAGUUAAAAUUUGUCUUUUGAACAAAGUCUAGCACAGGAUGUGAGAAGAUGGCUCGGUGGUGAAGUUCCUGCCAUGCAAGCAUGACCUCAAAAGCUGAGCGGCCCGUGUGUACCUGUAACCCCAGUGCUGCGGUAGAGGGAGAGGCAAAAGCAGGCAGAGCCACAGAGUUCAUGAGGCAGCCACCCAGCCAGCCAGCCAGCCAGUCAGUGAGAAUGUCACAGAAAAUAAGGUGGAGCCAUCACACACACACAUACACACACGCACACACAGCAACUGACCAACCUACAUCCCGAGUUCAAGUCCAACCUGGGCAGUUUAGUGAAACUCUAUCUCAAAAUUAAAGCUAAAAGAGAAGGCGAGUUCCGAGGAGAUAUAGCUCAGUAGUAGAACGUGCUUACCUACCAAGAGUAAAGCCCUAGGUUCAGUUCCCAAAACAAAAGGUCUUGUAAACAUAGUUUAAAUAAAUUGAGUAGUAAUGAACCUUCAUCACAUUGUGAAAAUACUUAGAGCUACAGGACUGUGUCCUUCAAAAUGCGAAGCUAGAACUAGACUUGGAGAUACUUGCCUGUCAUGCCUGCACUCCAGAAUCUGAGGCAGAAGAAUCAGGAAUUCAAGUCCACCCUGAAUACACAGUGAGAUCCUGUCUCAAAAGCAAUUAAACAAACUACAACAAGUAGGAUAGGAAAAGCUUAGCAGGGCAUAGUGAUAUACACACUUUUAAUCCCGAGACUUAGAAGGCAAAGGCCUUAGAAGCCACAGGAUCCCUGUGUGUUUGAGGCCAGCCUGGUCUACAGAGUGAGUUCCAGGACAGCCACAUUUGUAAUACAUACUGAGACCUUAUUU
rnacentral:lncRNA from 1 species